rnacentral:SRP_RNA from 1 species
UGCGCAGGCAGGGUUAGGGGGUACGCCCACCCCCUUAACCCGGCGGGGUUACGGGGACCAGUAACUCAGCGUAAGUGUGUAGGCUGCAACAUAGGUUCCCGCCCCAACCGCGAUGACCCCCGCCCCAUGGGGCCGGUGGUGGUGGGGUCACCUCCGGAAGGAGGUGGUUACCACCUUUACAGAGGGAAUUGGCUAGGCCCGGAAGGGAGCAACCUAACCUCUGACACCGGCGUUCAUGGGUCAACGGGGUAGAGGUUCGGUGGGGUAGGGGCCUAUGUUGUGGUCUACACACCUAUGCUGAGGGCUGCGCA